ensembl:miRNA MIR4711 microRNA 4711
AAAUGUGCAUCAGGCCAGAAGACAUGAGCCCUUUGGAAAGGUCUCGUGUCUUCUGGCUUGAUGCACAUUU